GAUAAACACUGGCGGCGUGCCUUAUGCAUGCAAGUCGUACGAGAUCAAAACUUCGGUUUGAAGUCUAGUGGCGGACGGGUGAGUAACACGUACGUGACCUGUCCAGAAGUGGGGAAUAACCAGCCGAAAGGUUGGCUAAUACCGCAUGUGGGCACCCCUUGGAAGGGGAUGACGAAAGCCGAAAGGCGCUUCUGGAGGGGCGUGCGGCCGAUUAGCUAGUUGGUGUGGUAAUGGCGCACCAAGGCGAUGAUCGGUAGCUGGUCUGAGAGGAUGGUCAGCCACACUGGGACUGAGACACGGCCCAGACUCCUACGGGAGGCAGCAGCAGGGAAUUUUGGGCAAUGGGCGAAAGCCUGACCCAGCAACGCCGCGUGGGGGAUGAAGGCUCUCGGGUCGUAAACCCCUUUUGCCGGGGAAGAUAAUGACGGUACCCGGCGAAUAAGCCACGGCUAACUACGUGCCAGCCGCCGCCGUAAUAC
rnacentral:rRNA from 1 species